AUCCCCUAAAGCAUCCUCAUGAGCAGAAACCUCAGAUCUGGCCUGGGCCAGUGGCUCACUCACACUAAAGAUGGGUCACCAUGAGUUCUGAAGUAUCCUAAAAAGGGGCUUGAACUCCACUUGGGGUGGGUCAGUGGAGAGCUGCUCUAAGCAGUCAGUGUCCCGCAGAGAAUGAAGAUUUCAUUGACAAACCCAAAGACAAGGAAGAGAAAGGAGACUGACAACCGGGUGAAGGGGAAGUAACCACCAAGAAAUGCCUGGAAGAAGGUGACGACCCCCUAGCGGGAGGAGGGCAGGGAAGCAGAGGCGGGCGGAAGGCUGGUCUAAGAGUGGAGGUAGCCCAAGAGUGAUACUGGCUGGGUCAGAGAAGUCGGUGGGCCCGAUCCGACGGAUACACAUACACG
rnacentral:lncRNA from 1 species